ACUAGCAUAUCAAUAAGCGGAGGAAAAGAAACCAACAGGGAUUGCCCUAGUAACGGCGAGUGAAGCGGCAUCAGCUCAAAUUUGAAAUCUGGCUCUUUCAGGGUCCGAGUUGUAAUUUGCAGAGGGAGCUUUCGAGUUGGCAGCGGUCUAAGUUCCUUGGAACAGGACGUCACAGAGGGUGAGAAUCCCGUACGUGGUCGCAGGCCUUCUCGAGGUAAAGCCCCUUCGACGAGUCGAGUUGUUUGGGAAUGCAGCUCUAAAUGGGAGGUAAAUUUCUUCUAAAGCUAAAUACUGGCCAGAGACCGAUAGCGCACAAGUAGAGUGAUCGAAAGAUGAAAAGCACUUUGGAAAGAGAGUCAAAUAGCACGUGAAAUUGUUGAAAGGGAAGCGCUUGCAGCCAGACUUGCCUGUAGUUGCUCAUCCGGGCUUUUGCCCGGUGCACUCUUCUAUAGGCAGGCCAGCAUCAGUUUGGGCGGUUGGAUAAAGGUCUCUGUCACGUACCUCCUCUCGGGGAGGCCUUAUAGGGGAGACGACAUGCAACCAGCCUGGACUGAGGUCCGCGCAUCUGCUAGGAUGCUGGCGUAAUGGCUGUAAGCGGCCCGUCUUGAAACACGGACCAAGGAGUCUAACAUCUAUGCGAGUGUUUGGGUGUCAAGCCCGAGCGCGCAAUGAAAGUGAACGGAGGUGGGAUCCCUUAAGGGUGCACCAUCGACCGAUCCUGAAGUCUUCGGAUGGAUUUGAGUAAGAGCAUGGCUGUUGGGACCCGAAAGAUGGUGAACUAUGCUUGAAUAGGGUGAAGCCAGAGGAAACUCUGGUGGAGGCUCGCAGCGGUUCUGACGUGCAAAUCGAUCGUCAAAUUUGGGCAUAGGGGCGAAAGACUAAUCGAACUAUCUAGUAGCUGGUUCCUGCCGAAGUUUCCCUCAGGAUAGCAGUAACGUAUUCAGUUUUAUGAGGUAAAGCGAAUGAUUAGAGGCCUGGGGGUUGAAACAACCUUCACCUAUUCUCAAACUUUAAAUAUGUAAGAAGUCCUUGUUACUUAAUUGAACGUGGACACUUGAAUGUACCGUUACUAGUGGGCCAUUUUUGGUAAGCAGAACUGGCGAUGCGGGAUGAACCGAACGCGGGGUUAAGGUGCCAGAAUAUACGCUCAUCAGACACCACAAAAGGUGUUAGUUCAUCUAGACAGCAGGACGGUGGCCAUGGAAGUCGGAAUCCGCUAAGGAGUGUGUAACAACUCACCUGCCGAAUGAACUAGCCCUGAAAAUGGAUGGCGCUCAAGCGUAUUACCCAUACCCCGCCGCCGGGGCAAGAUUUAAGCCCCGGCGAGUAGGCAGGCGUGGAGGCUCGUGACGAAGCCUUGGGGGUGACCCCGGGUCGAACGGCCUCUAGUGCA
rnacentral:rRNA from 1 species